rnacentral:rRNA from 1 species
UCAAGCUAGGAAGGGCGUACGGUGGAUGCCUAGGCGCUAAGAGGCGAGGAAGGGCGUGGCAAGCUGCGAAAAGCCCCGGGGAGCCGCAAGCAGGCAGAGAUCCGGGGAUACCCGAAUGGGGCAACCCACCUGGAGUAAUAUCCAGGUACCCUUAGCUGAACACAUAGGCUAAGGGGGCGAACCGGGGGAACUGAAACAUCUUAGUACCCCGAGGAAAAGAAAGCAAACGCGAUUCCCCCAGUAGCGGCGAGCGAAAAGGGAAGAGCCCAAACCUUAUGCAUGGAGAAGGCUGCAACCGUUGUGCAUAAGGGGUAGCGGGGCUUCCAGGAGUAGUUGCAGAUACUCCACGAGAGCGAAGGCUGUAGGAGAACAGGACUGGAAAGUCCGGCCGGAGAGGGUAAAAGCCCCGUAUCCGAAACGGCCUAAAGCUUUCGGGAAGGACCCCAAGUACCACGGGACACGAGGAAUCCCGUGGGAAUCCGGGAGGACCACCUUCCAAGGCUAAAUACUCCUUAGCGACCGAUAGUGCACGAGUACCGUGAGGGAAAGGUGAAAAGCACCCCGGGAGGGGAGUGAAAAAGAACCUGAAACCGUAUGCCCACAAGCAGUCAGAGGGCGUUAAAGCCUGAUGGCGUACUUUUUGUAGAACGGGCCGGCGAGUUACGUUAACGAGCGAGGUUAAGGGGAAGACCCGGAGCCGAAGCGAAAGCGAGUCUGAAGAGGGCGCGAAGUUCGUUAACGUAGACCCGAAACCGGGUGAUCUACCCAUGGGCAGGGUGAAGCGAGAUUAAACUUUCGUGGAGGCCCGAACCGACCGGCGUUGAAAAGUCGGCGGAUGACCUGUGGGUAGGGGUGAAAUGCCAAUCGAACCCGGAGAUAGCUGGUUCUCCCCGAAAUAGCUUUAGGGCUAGCCUCAAAGGAAACUAACGGAGGUAGAGCACUGAUAAGGCUAGGGGCCUUACCCGGUUACCGAACCUUUUCAAACUCCGAAUGCCGUUAGUUGCUCUUUGGGAGUCAGACUACGGGUGCAAAGAUUCGUAGUCGAGAGGGAAACAGCCCAGACCAACAGCUAAGGUCCCAAAAGACGGGCUAAGUGGGAAAGGAUGUAGAGCUGCUUAAACAACCAGGAUGUUGGCUUAGAAGCAGCCAUCAUUUAAAGAGUGCGUAAUAGCUCACUGGUCGAGUGGCUCUGCGCCGAAAAUUUAGCGGGGCUCAAGCCCGUUACCGAAGCUUUGGGAACCGAGUGCACCACUGGUGCUGCCAGUGGCGAGUCAAAGGGAAAGAAGCUAAAUUUAAGUUGCAAACCGACCUUAAAAAAUAAAAAAAUAAAAAAGGAGGUUUGCGAAAAAUUCCCUAAGGCUCAAGCCCCUGGAAGUAGCAGUGGGGCACUCGGUUCGGUAGGGGAGCGUUCUGUAAGCGUCGAAGCUGUACCGAAAGGAGCAGUGGAGCUUACAGAAGUGAGAAUGCCGGCAUAAGUAAGCGAGAAGGCAGGUGAGAAUCCUGCCCGCCGAAAACCUAAGGGUUCCUGGGGAAGGCUCGUCCACCCAGGGUAAGUCGGGACCUAAGCCGAGGCGGAGAGCGUAGGCGAUGGGCAAUCGGUUGAAAUUCCGAUACCACCUGAAGGCCGUUAACAGGAUGGGGUGACGCAGGAGGGUAGACACAGCGCACCGUUGGUUGUGUGCGUCCAAGCCAGUAGGGAGUGAGGCAGGCAAAUCCGCCUCACGAAAAGCCCGAGAGGUGACGGGGAGCGAAAUUAAAGUAGCGAACUGGUCGAACCCAAACUGCCGAGAAAAGCCUCUAACGAGGACUUCAGGUGCCCGUACCGCAAACCGACACAGGUAGGUGGGGAGAGGAUCCCGAGGCGCGCGAGCGAACCUCCGUUAAGGAACUCGGCAAAAUGACCCCGUAACUUCGGGAGAAGGGGUACCCCGUUAGGGUGAUAGUUUAAACGAACUAGAGCCCGAGGGGGUCGCAGAGAAGUGGCCCAGGCGACUGUUUACCAAAAACACAGGUGCCUGCUAAAGCGAAAGCUGAAGUAUAGGUGCUGACGCCUGCCCGGUGCUGGAAGGUUAAGGGGAAGGGUUAUCCAGCACUCAACUCUGCGUAUUGAAGC